UACAGAGGUGGCAAGCGUUGUUCGGAAUUACUGGGCGUAAAGGGCGCGUAGGCGGCCCACUAAGUCAGACGUGAAAUCCCCCGGCUUAACCUGGGAACUGCGUCUGAUACUGGAGGGCUUGAGUAUGGGAGAGGGAUGUAGAAUUCCAGGUGUAGCGGUGAAAUGCGUAGAUAUCUGGAGGAACACCGGUGGCGAAGGCGGCAUCCUGGACCAACACUGACGCUGAGUGAGCGAAAGCCAGGGGAGCAAACGGG
rnacentral:rRNA from 1 species